rnacentral:rRNA from 1 species
UGGGGAAUUUUUGGACAAUGGGCGAAAGCCUGAUCCAGCAAUGCCGCGUGUGUGAAGAAGGCCUUCGGGUUGUAAAGCACUUUUGUCCGGAAAGAAAUCCUUGGCUCUAAUACAGUCGGGGGAUGACGGUACCGGAAGAAUAAGCACCGGCUAACUACGUGCCAGCAGCCGCGGUAAUACGUAGGGUGCAAGCGUUAAUCGGAAUUACUGGGCGUAAAGCGUGCGCAGGCGGUUUGCUAAGACCGAUGUGAAAUCCCCGGGCUCAACCUGGGAACUGCAUUGGUGACUGGCAGGCUAGAGUAUGGCAGAGGGGGGUAGAAUUCCACGUGUAGCAGUGAAAUGCGUAGAGAUGUGGAGGAAUACCGAUGGCGAAGGCAGCCCCCUGGGCCAAUACUGACGCUCAUGCACGAAAGCGUGGGGAGCAAACAGGAUUAGAUACCCUGGUAGUCCACGCCCUAAACGAUGUCAACUAGUUGUUGGGGAUUCAUUUCCUUAGUAACGUAGCUAACGCGUGAAGUUGACCGCCUGGGGAGUACGGUCGCAAGAUUAAAACUCAAAGGAAUUGACGGGGUCAAGCG